UGCGUAGGCGGACUAAUAAGUCAGUGGUGAAAUCUUUCGGCUCAACCGAGAAACUGCAAUUGAUACUGUUAGUCUUGAGUUCGGUUGAGGUAGGCGGAAUGUGUAAUGUAGCGGUGAAAUGCUUAGAUAUUACACAGAACACCAAUUGCGUAGGCAGCUUACUAGACCGACACUGACGCUGAGGCACGAAAGCGUGGGGAGCGAACAGGAUUAGAUACCCUGGUAGUCC
rnacentral:rRNA from 1 species